rnacentral:rRNA from 1 species
UACGUAGGGGGCUAGCGUUGUCCGGAUUUAUUGGGCGUAAAGAGCGUGUAGGCGGCCAAACAGGUCCGUUGUGAAAACUGGAGGCUCAACUUCCAGACGUCGACGGAAACCGUGUGGCUAGAGUCCGGAAGAGGAGAGUGGAAUUCCUGGUGUAGCGGUGAAAUGCGCAGAUAUCAGGAAGAACACCAAUGGCGAAGGCAGCUCUCUGGGACGGUACUGACGCUGAGACGCGAAAGCGUGGGGAGCGAACAGG